GGUCAUGAGUCUCAGUUUCAAGCCCCGGCUAACUGAGCGGCAACCCUCCACCACGGUGGGGUGCUCCGGGUGAGGACCAGAUCGAUUGCAAGGCGUAAUCGAUAAGCGUGGAUC
rnacentral:ncRNA from 2 species